AUUGAACGCUGGCGGCAGGCCUAACACAUGCAAGUCGAGCGGUAAAGAGAAGCUUGCUUCUCUUGAGAGCGGCGGACGGGUGAGUAAUGCCUAGGAAUCUGCCUGGUGGUGGGGGAUAACGUUCGGAAACGGACGCUAAUACCGCAUACGCCCUGAGGGGGAAAGCGGGGGAUCGAAAGACCUCGCGCGAUUAGAGCGGCCGAUGCCUGAUUAGCUUGUUGGUGGGGUAAAAGCCCACCAAGGCGACGAUCAGUAGCUGGUCUGAGAGGACGAUCAGACACACUGGAACUGAGACACGGUCCAGACUCCUACGGGAGGCAGCAGUGGGGAAUAUUGGACAAUGGUCGGAAGACUGAUCCAGCCAUCCCGCGUGCAGGAUGAAGGCGUUAUGCGUUGUAAACUGCUUUAUACAGGAAGAAACGACUCUUGCGAGAGGCAUUGACGGUACUGUAUGAAUAAGCACCGGCUAACUCCGUGCCAG
rnacentral:rRNA from 1 species